AUGGUGAAUUUGCGUGGGUCGACGGCGGUCUGGGCCGGCAGGUACCUCCUGCCGCUGGCCUUCCCGGCGUGCUGUGCCCUAUGGAUGCUCCUCGUCUUCCCUUCUCCGCCGGUGGAGGUCGCCGUCUUCCGGCAGAGUUUCCAGCCGAGCAUUCCGUUGACGGGGCUGCGGGCCGUUGACACGACGCCCCCGUGGCCGUCGGAGCGUCGAGAGAUCGUUGACACGUCCUCGCCGCUGACGCCGCCGCCGCCGCCGACGGAGCACCAUGUCAUCAUUAACGCUCCGCCUCCACCGCUGGCACCGAAACGUCAAGCAAGAACGGAGAUGUCACGUCAAGCAGGGACAGAGAUUCAAUCGCCACCUCCACCGGCGGUGGCGACCGACAGGUGCGCCGGCCGCUACAUCUACAUCCAUAAUCUGCCGAGUCGGUUCAACUCCGACCUGAUCCGGGACUGCCGGUCCCUGUCAGAGUGGGCCGACAUGUGCAAGCACCUCCUCAACGCCGGCAUGGGCCCGCGGCUCACGCGCACCGGCGGCGUUCUCCCGUCCACUGGCUGGUACGACACCAACCAGUUCGCCCUGGAGGUCAUCUUCCACAGCCGGAUGCGACGGUACGAUUGCCUCACCACCGACGCGUCCCGCGCCGCUGCCGUCUACGUGCCCUACUAUGCAGGGCUCGACGUCGGCCGGCACCUGUGGGGGUUCAGCAACGGCGUCCGCGACGCUCUCGCGGAGGACCUCUUCGAGUGGCUCCGGUCGUCACCGGUAUGGGCGGCGCAGGGCGGGCGGGACCACUUCUUCGUCGGCGGUCGCAUCACGUGGGACUUCCGGCGCGAGGUCGGCGGCGAGUGGGGGAGCCGGCUGCUUCUCCUCCCGGAGGCCAAGAACAUGACGAUGCUCGCCAUCGAGUCCAGCCCGUGGCACGGCAACGACAUCGGCGUGCCGUACCCGACCUACUUCCACCCGUCCCUCGCCGGCGAGGUGGCCUCAUGGCAGCGGGCCGUGCGACACACGCGAAGGCCAUGGCUGUUCGCGUUCGCUGGCGGCGCGCGGGCGCACGACGGCAGCAACAAGAACGUUAACGCCGUCGUCCGCGACAUGAUCAUCAACCAGUGCGCGCGGUCGCGGCGGUGCGGGCUCCUUCUGUGCGGCGGCCGUGGCCGGCGCAACGACUGCUACGCGCCGAGCAACGUCAUGCGGCUGUUCAAGAGCGCCGCCUUCUGCCUGCAGCCCCAGGGGGACUCGUACACGCGGCGGUCGGCGUUCGACGCCGUGCUCGCCGGCUGUGUGCCGGUGUUCUUCCACCCCGGAUCGGCGUACGUGCAGUACCGGUGGCAUCUGCCGGCGGAUCACCGCAAGUACUCGGUGUUCGUGCCGGAGGACGGCGUGCGGAACGGCACAGUGAAGGUGGAGGACGUGCUCCGGCGGAUCGGCGCCAGGGAGGUGGCGGCCAUGAGGGAGCAGGUGGUCAGGUUGAUUCCCAACAUCGUGUACAGGGACCCAAGGGUCAAGGCUGGCUACCGCUUCAGGGACGCCGUGGACGUCGCCGUGGACGGCGUGAUCGAGAGGGUGAGGAGGAUCAAGCGAGGGCUGGAGGACGAUGUGGGGCAUCAGUGGGAUAGUUACUUUGACAAGUAG
rnacentral:rRNA from 1 species